UUCUCAGAAUCUCAGUUCUGCUGUCGCGCACUCUCCUUAGCCACACUGCAGCCUGUUGGUCCCCAGGAUGCAGAGCACAGCAGGAAAAGUAUGAGCAAAGGAACAGAGAGAAGACAGGGGCUGACUGGCACCCCGGGUGACCUUGGGCAAAUCACUUGCUCUCAGUUUUAGUUUCCUUGUCGGUAAUUUGAGAAGAAUAAUACCUCUCACGUUUGUUGUGAGGCUUACAUGAAAUAAAAUCUGUGAAAACACUUUAUGAGCUUCAAAAGGCAUGUAUACAAAUGGAAGGGCUUUUAUUAUUGGCUUUCAUUCAAAGUGUUUGGGACUUUGGGCUCUGGGGAGAA